rnacentral:rRNA from 1 species
UACGGAGGGUGCGAGCGUUGUCCGGAAUCACUGGGCGUAAAGGGCGCGUAGGCGGCCUGAUAAGUAGGGGGUGAAAUCCUGCGGCUUAACCGCAGGGCUGCCUUCUAAACUGUCAGGCUUGAGCACAGUAGAGGCAGGUGGAAUUCCCGGUGUAGCGGUGGAAUGCGUAGAGAUCGGGAAGAACAUCAGUGGCGAAGGCGGCCUGCUGGGCUGUUGCUGGACGCUGAGGCGCGACAGCGUGGGGGAGCAAACAGG